rnacentral:rRNA from 1 species
UGACGUGAANNUGNUGCUUGCACCAAUUUGAAGAGCAGCGAACGGGUGAGUAACGCGUGGGGAAUCUGCCUUUGAGCGGGGGACAACAUUUGGAAACGAAUGCUAAUACCGCAUAAUAACUUUAAACAUAAGUUUUAAGUUUGAAAGAUGCAAUUGCAUCACUCAAAGAUGAUCCCGCGUUGUAUUAGCUAGUUGGUGAGGUAAAGGCUCACCAAGGCGAUGAUACAUAGCCGACCUGAGAGGGUGAUCGGCCACAUUGGGACUGAGACACGGCCCAAACUCCUACGGGAGGCAGCAGUAGGGAAUCUUCGGCAAUGGACGAAAGUCUGACCGAGCAACGCCGCGUGAGUGAAGAAGGUUUUCGGAUCGUAAAACUCUGUUGGUAGAGAAGAACGUUGGUGAGAGUGGAAAGCUCAUCAAGUGACGGUAACUACCCAGAAGGGACGGCUAACUACGUGCCAGCAGCCGCGGUAAUACGUAGGUCCCGAGCGUUGUCCGGAUUAAUUGGGCGUAAGCGAGCGCAGGUGGUUAUAAAGUCUGGUGUAAANGCAGUGGCUCANCCAU